GGGCGCGCGGGGCGCGUAGGUACCACCGAGCGCACGGUACGUGGUACGAGCCGCGGACUCCGCUGAUUAAUGAGCAGUCGCCGGCGGCCUCGCGCGGACACGUUGGCUCUCCCCGCAGAGCCAGCGGCGGCGCAGCCGGCCAGCCCGAGGACGGCUCUGGGGAGGACGCCGAGGCUGCCCGAGUAUGAUCUAGGCACACCUGAAGGCAGCCGCCUUUAAUCCAGAUUAAAAAGAUGAUGCAACGGCUUCCCUGGUGGCGCAGUGGCUGAGAGUCUGCCUGCCGAUGCAGGGGACACGGGUUCGUGCCCCCGUCCGGGAAGAUCCCGCAUGCCGCGGAGCGGCUGGGCCCGUGAGCCAUGGCCGCUGAGCCUGCGGGUCCGGAGCCUGUGCUCCGCAACGGGAGAGGCCACAACAGUGAGAGGCCUGCGUACCGCCAAAAAAAAAAAAAAGAUGAUGCAAGCUGCCAACUACUGAAUCUAACCCUGUGCCCGCUUGUGUAUGAAUGGACUGAACUAUGCACCUGUAGUCUUCUAUAAAUCUUCCUCUUUGGAGACAUCAA